ensembl:lncRNA
CUUUAGUGAAUGUAGACUCACCCACUUCAUCAGCAUUUUCGUCUGGAAAAUACAGAGAAAAGCAAUGCAUGAUGAGUGGAACAUCUCAUCCCACAGCUCACACAGGCAGACUCUCUUUACUUUGAGUUUGGGAGGGAGCACUCACUCAGUUUUGAAGCUAAUUUCUCUGCAAAGGUAAGAAAUAGGAAAUGCAUGAGGAGAGGGGGACAUGUUUUCAUUCAAUGGCUGAUCCCAUGGGAAGACCCCAAAUUCCUUCAGUGUCAGGAGGGACACUUACUCAGAUUUGCAGCAUAGGAACCUGCAAUGGAAAGGUAGAAACAGUGCAUGGUGAGAGGAACAUCCUAUCCCACAGCUCCCCAAGGCAGAGCAGAGCAGUGCUUGGUCAGAGGGGACAGCUGCUCAUCCCACAGCUGAUGCCAUGGGGAGACCCUGAAUUCCCUCACUUAGGGGAAGGAGACUUACCCAACAUUGCAUCUUUUCUCUCUGCAAAAUAGAAGCAAAAGAAAUGCAUGGUCAGAGG